rnacentral:rRNA from 1 species
CCUACGGGAGGCAGCAGUGAGGAAUAUUGGUCAAUGGACGCAAGUCUGAACCAGCCAUGCCGCGUGCAGGAAGACGGCUCUAUGAGUUGUAAACUUCUUUUGUCCGAGGGUAAAAGCAGCUACGCGUAUCUUUCUGAAAGUAUCGUACGAAAAAGGAUCGGCUAACUCCGUGCCAGCAGCCGCGGUAAUACGGAGGAUUCAAGCGUUAUCCGGAUUUAUUGGGUUUAAAGGGUGCGUAGGCGGUCUGAUAAGUUAGCGGUGAAAUCCCGAGGCUCAACUUCGGAAUUGCCUCUGAUACUGUUCGGCUAGAGAGGAGUUGCGGUAGGCGGAAUGUAUGGUGUAGCGGUGAAAUGCUUAGAGAUCAUACAGAACACCGAUUGCGAAGGCAGCUUACCAAGCUACUUCUGACGUUGAGGCACGAAAGCGUGGGGAGCAAACAGGAUUAGAUACCCGGGUAGUC